rnacentral:lncRNA from 1 species
CCAUGAUAUAUGUUGGAGGAUACUGAAGUUGAGAGUCUACACUUUUCUGAUCUUGUCUGCUUAAACAUCUAUGUCCACUCUUGGAACUUUAUAUUUAUCUCUGCAGAAAAGGCAGUUCAGAUGCAGACUCUGUAGCCUGGAACCAGACAGAUGUUGAAAGACUGAAUAUAACUCCAGAGAAAAAAAGAAUACUGGGAAGAUUGUAUAUGUGAGUCUUAACUGCAUUAGUAACCAUAAAUGUAAGUGGACUAAUAAUAACAACUUAUGUUUUGGUUAGACUGCUAAGAUUUUGAGUAG